rnacentral:rRNA from 1 species
UACGUAGGGGGCAAGCGUUGUCCGGAUUUAUUGGGCGUAAAGAGCGUGUAGGCGGCCUGAAAGGUCAGCUGUGAAAACUCGAGGCUCAACCUCGAGACGUCGGUUGAAACCAUCUGGCUAGAGUCCGGAAGAGGAGUGUGGAAUUCCCGGUGUAGCGGCGAAAUGCGCAGAUAUCGGGAGGAACACCUGUGGCGAAAGCGGCUCACUGGACCACAACUGACGCUGAGGCGCGAAAGCUAGGGGAGCAAACAGG